UAUAUGUAUUAAAUGCAUGUGCAAUAUAAAGCUUCGUAUCAGUGCUUUAUUGUUUUAUAUAUUUAUUGAAGAAAUAGAUAAAUUAAAAAGAUCUCGACAAUAAUUCUGUUACAACCACAAAUUUCCUCAUGGAGAUUAUACACCUUAAACUAUAUAUAUAUCCAUGCUAUAGAAUUAUCCUUAAAGAUAUUAAUAUUAAAGUGAAUUGAGUACAUUUAAUUGGUCUGGUUGGUUUAGUAGUUUAUGGAGAAGAGAGAGGACCCACAAAAUAACCGACCAUUCAGUGUUUACUAACAGGUGGAGGUGCGCCAAGCUUAAUCAUUUUAAUUUGUUACUUGUAAACCACUUAAUUCAAAUUUAUUCUAGGUGAUGAAUAGAGUAAGCUGAUGCCUCAAAAUGACCACCGUUGUGGUGUAGGCAUUGCAAGUGUAGUGGUUCAGAGGGUUGUUGUGAGGCUUGUGGCUCAUGAUGGCUUCUGCUGCCACAUUGGAGGGUGGCAGUUCUCCCACCAAUGAUGAGAUCAUAAUACUUCCUGUUGCUCAGCCUCGUGGAGGUGUCUCCACUGGUACAAGUCCCAUUCUGGUACAUGAUUCUACACGGCGGACUUCCGUCGGUACCUCUGUCAGCCCUGCAUCAAGGGGAACCACCCUACACCCACCCGAACUGCCAGGGGGUGCUCGAAGGACCAGGAGAAAUCUUGAUGAAGAGAAGAAGAUUGCACUUAGUCAACUGCAAGAGCUAGAAGCGGCCAUAAAGGUACGCAAAGUGACCAAGGUGGAUGGCCGCAAGAAUCGAUGGGUUGAGUACCGUGCUCGUAAACAGGCUGAAGAGGCAAAACAAGGAAAUUUGAACAUGAGAUAUGUGAUGAUAAAACAAUGUCCAGUUGCAAAUAAGAGAAAUAAAAGGGGGAAAAGGAGAUAUACUGGUAGCAAAAAAAGAGGACACAAAAAGAAUGAGGGUGUGGUGGAAGGCUUUACUGUGUAUGUGUGACAGGUUUUAAGUAAUGGAUAUGGGUAACAUGGGUUACCUUGCAGAGUGUACUGUAUAUGUGACAUUGGUUACUAUGUACUGUAUGUGUGUGACAUGUUAUUGUGUACCUGUACUGCAUGUGUGUGUGUGUGUGUGUGUGUUAAAGGUUAAUAUGUACUGUGCAUGUGUGACAUGUGUUAAUAUUUAUAUAUAUAUAUAUAUAUAUAUAUAUAUAUAUAUAUAUAUAUAUAUAUAUAUAUAUAUAUAUAUAUAUAUAUAUAUAUAUAUAUAUAUAUAUAUAUAUAUAUAUAUAUAUAUAUAUAUUAUAUACUGUGUUAUGUAUACGUGACAUACACUGUAGACCAGACUUAGGUUUCUGUAGACUAAGCUUAGUCCACAGUAUUUUGCAUCUGCACUGCCCCUAACAGGCUAUCAGGCCUAAAGGACCUACUCUAACUUUCUUGUGUAACGUGGAUUAAAAUAACUGUAUACAGUGUGAUGUUGAUUAAUACUGUAUAUGCAGUACUGUACUAUGUAUGUUUAAUAGUUGUUAAUAUCUUUCAUGUUUUCUGUGACAUGGAUUGAUAUAUUGUGUACAGUUUUGUGUAAUUGUGUGACAUACUGUAGGUUGGUAUGUACAAUACUGUGUGUAGCAUGGGUAAGUAUAUAUUUUAUAUGUGUAAUCUGCACUAAUAUAUACUGUGUAUGUGUGACAUGGAUUAAUGGUCAGUGUAUUGAAAAUGUGUGAUGGGUUAGUAAAUGAGUUUACAAAGAUGUAAUGUGACUUGUUAGAAGAAUAGGUUUAAUUUUGUAAGCACAAGAUUUUUCUCCUCUUAUUUACCAAAGAAGCCACUGGCAGCAAACUGUUUUUUUUUAGAGAGGAUAAGGUUCCCAAUUUUGUGAAGUGAUGUGUAGAAUAUAAUAAAUUUUGUAUUGUAAAUUUAGUUUUGUCAGUCCUCAUUUUCACUAAAUAUAAUGUAGUUCUUCAAAGUAGAGGGGUAAUACUAGGUUGUGUGAAGCAAGUGGGAUAACUCAAACUGAUAUUCUGGGGUCUUGUUGUAGAAGGAGAACACUAUAGCUGAGUACAUCUGUUACAGCAAUCCAAGAAUGAAUGACAGUGAAUGAUGUGAAAGACUGUGUUUACUGUUGAUUUUGGACAAUUUGCACUAAAUCAGGAAGAGGCUUGUAAGAGUGAGAAAAAGACCUAGACCACAAAUGAAGGAAUAUUACCCACCUAAAAGAAGAUGUACGGUUUCUUAACUAGAAAUUUUAUAAUUUUUUUUAGUUAUUCCUCACUAGUCUAUUUCUUGAUCAAUAAUAUCAAGAUGAUAAACAAAUAAAUGUGACCGAAAAACAA
rnacentral:lncRNA from 1 species